GCCGAUGUAGCUCAGUUGGUAGAGCAACUGAUUCGUAAUCAGUAGGUCGGAGGUUCGAUUCCUCUCAUCGGCACCA
rnacentral:tRNA from 1 species